rfam:Citrus sinensis cultivar Ridge Pineapple sweet orange scaffold12443_contig_1, whole genome shotgun sequence.
ACGACCUUACUUGAACAGGAUCUGUUCUAUAGGCUCGUACCUCUGUGUCCUUGAGUUCUAAGGAGACAGGAUAUCAAGUCUGGUGGAUGAGUCAUGACCGUGUGAUCAGGGCGUGAGUAACGGCUAUCAGUGACCCCUUGGGUUGCUGAGGCUGCAGAGGAUCGUUCUCGGCUGGGCUCCUCUGGCUGGGGUGGUCACACGGUUGUCUGACAGACU